CCCCUUACAUGUAUCAAAUAUAUCAUAUCUUCAAUAACCAUCACUCUCAGAUGCUCAAAAAUAGCCGACUCCUGUUGGCAAAGUUUAAGAAGUGCACACAGUUGCUCCUGCAGUUCAGGCAUCUUUCCACCAUAGUCAACCAUUAUUACUGGCCUCAUCUCCGUGCACAACGCCAGAACAUCUAAUUGGAGUCGAUGCUUGGAUGGAGAUUUGAGGCGCCAUUUGAUGUGGGAUAGAGAAGAAUCCAACACCCUCAGUGCUUCCUCCACCUCUGCAACCUCCAUUUCUCGUCUCUCCUUCUUCCC
rnacentral:misc_RNA from 1 species